AAUCCAUAGGUUAAUGAGGCGAACCGGGGGAACUGAAACAUCUAAGUACCCCGAGGAAAAGAAAUCAACCGAGAUUCCCCCAGUAGCGGCGAGCGAACGGGGAGGAGCCCAGAGCCUGAAUCAGCAUGUGUGUUAGUGGAAGCGUCUGGAAAGGCGCGCGAUACAGGGUGACAGCCCCGUACACAAAAGCGCAUGUGCUGUGAGCUCGAUGAGUAGGGCGGGACACGUGGUAUCCUGUCUGAAUAUGGGGGGACCAUCCUCCAAGGCUAAAUACUCCUGACUGACCGAUAGUGAACCAGUACCGUGAGGGAAAGGCGAAAAGAACCCCGGCGAGGGGAGUGAAAAAGAACCUGAAACCGUGUACGUACAAGCAGUGGGAGCACAGGUUUACCUGUGUGACUGCGUACCUUUUGUAUAAUGGGUCAGCGACUUAUAUUCUGUAGCAAGGUUAACCG
rnacentral:rRNA from 7 species